CGCAUCUUGCGCCCCGUGGCAUUCCGCGGGGCAUGUCUGUUUGAGUGUCGUUUGACCUCUCAACCGCUUUGGUAUUCGAUUACAAAAGUCGGCUUGGAACUUGGGUGCCUCUGGCGAAACGCAAAGGUCUUUGCGGACCUGUCGCCCACCCCAAGGUCAGUUGGGCCAACCGCGCGGAUGAGCGGACGGUUUGACCACAGUGUUGUAAGGUUCGCCUCACUGUCGGGACGUCCAUUUCCGUCGCUAUUGGCAUUUGAAAUACGAUACUAUUGAUUUUGACCUCAAAUCAGACAGGAUUACCCGCUGAACUUAA
rnacentral:misc_RNA from 1 species